UACGGGGGGGAGCAAGCGUUGUUCGGAUUUACUGGGCGUAAAGGGCGCGUAGGCGGGCGCAACAAGUCACUUGUGAAAUCUCCGGGCUUAACUCGGAACGGUCAAGUGAUACUGUUGUGCUAGAGUGCGGAAGGGGCAACUGGAAUUCUCGGUGUAGCGGUGAAAUGCGUAGAUAUCAGGAGGAACACCUGUGGUGUAGACAGCUUACUGGACCACUUCUGACGCUGAGACACGAAAGCGUGGGUAGCAAACAGG
rnacentral:rRNA from 1 species